UCCACGUGCGGCUUCCGCUUCCGCCUUUCUCCGGCGAGCUCGAACCCUCCCAGCCAAUGCAGAGGCCGGGAACCGGGUGACGUCCGCCGUUGCCUGGGCGACGGCGGACGCCGCGCGGCCUUCCUCCGCCCGGCUGCUCACGAACGUUCCAGACUGACGCAGGAUCAAUCACAGACUGCCGUGCUUGCACAAGGACCUUCCUAUUCAAAAGGUAUCUCCAGGUACAUUGAACUUGUCAUUUGAACUACAGUUAAAUUUCUUGAUGGAAACCCUUGGUUCAUUUCACUUCUAAGACAUUGAUUUACAGAAUGAAUCAGUGCAGAUGUCCUUCAGCUAUAUAUAGUUUUAAUUAGAAGAUGGAUUUUGUGCAGCAUAC